GCGGCAUGGAAACCCGACGCAGAGGUUUUAGAUCGAAUGCUCUAGAUGAAAGAGUGAUUAGUGUUGCUGCGUACGAGAAAGUGUGAGUGAUGUGAAUGAUGAACCCUAAUCUCUUGUCGCCCUUCAUCUUUCGCAGCUAUCGUUCAUCUCGUCAUUGUUUCUCAUCCCUCACACCACCAAAUUAGAUCUGCCAAAAUUUUUGAUGGCCUCUUUGAUUGGGAAUUCAUCGUGAAAUGGUUUUGCACUUUGAUUUUUCUGCUUCUUUUCUUCCUUCUUAAUACCUUUCAUUGAUUGUAAUUAUGCAGAUUUUGAUUUUCAAUUUUGCAGUUUAUCUCCUUUUGUUUUUCAGCAAAUCAUUGAUUAAACAAUCAAGGAAUCGGAUCAAUGUGAUAAGGAGAAAGAGAAAUUCAGCAAAGAAGUUUCUUAAGCGAGACACCAUUGAUCUGCUUGCAAAUCAUUUACAGUAUUUGAUAUUCAGGGUCUAAUGUAAGCAACUAUCAGAGAAAUAAAUCUGAGGCAGAGGAUCAACCUGAUUAUUAUUUAGGGUCCAAUGUUCAGGAAGAUCUAAACCAUCAAAUCUGCAAAAGCCAGUGUAAGACUGACAAAAGAGCAGGUAGUAAGAAACAAGACGCCGAGAAACCCAAAAGGGAGCAUGUUGUUGCAGCUGAGCAUUGCCAAUAUGCAAAUCCUUUUGACUUUAAAGAAGGAUUUUUACUUGGUGAUUAAUAUGAAUGAAGGCAAGGAAGCUUCUAAAUGAGAGUAUAGGGAGGUUAAUAAAAAGAAAAGAAAGUGGAGAGCUUGGUGGAGGGUUAUUGGGAGAAUUGCUGGAAGCGAAAGGAAAAUACCAACUCUCUGAUUCUCAGGUAAUCCAAGAAACGUUGAGAAGUGCAAGCAUACGACAGUCAUUCACAUUCAGAGAAGUAGUGGAAGAUGUGGAGCUUCAAGAUUACUACAUUCUCGAAGGCUGGAAUGUAUAGGUCUGCACAGAGAAUUUCUUGUUCAUUUUGGGCCGAGAGUUGUAGCCUGUGGAGCAAAAGACGAAUGGGGUUCAGAAGAGAUUGUUUUCUGGGUGAAUCUUGCUCAGAGGCUACUACAGCAAGUUAUUGAUAAGGAGAAAAUCUGGUCAAGACUGACAACUUCCAAAAGUU